rnacentral:rRNA from 1 species
CCUACGGGCGGCAGCAGUGGGGAAUAUUGCACAAUGGGGGAAACCCUGAUGCAGCGACGCCGCGGGAGUGAAGAAGGAUUUCGGGAGGUAAAGCUCUAUCAGCAGGGAAGAAGAAAGACGGUACCUGACGAAGAAGCCCCGGCUAACUACGUGCCAGCAGCUGCGGUAAUACGUAGGGGGCAAGCGUUAUCCGGAUUUACUGGGGGUAAAGGGAGCGUAGACGGCUGGGCAAGUCUGAAGUGAAAGCCCAGGGCUCAACCCUGGGACUGCUUUGGAAACUGGGGAGCUAGGGUGCUGGAGGGUUCAGUGGACUUCCUCGUGUAGCGGUGCCAUGCGUCUAUAUUAGGAG